rnacentral:rRNA from 1 species
UACGGAGGGGGCUAGCGUUGUUCGGAAUUACUGGGCGUAAAGCGCACGUAGGCGGACUGUUAAGUCGGGGGUGAAAUCCUGGGGCUCAACCUCAGAAUUGCCUCCGAUACUGGCAGUCUCGAGUGCGGGAGAGGUGAGUGGAAUUCCCAGUGAUAGAGGUGAAAUGCGCAGAUAUCAGGAGGAACACCCGGUGGCCGAAGGCGGC